GUGAGGGAAAAUCAACAUUUACUUCAUGUAUUCAUAAUCAAUUACACUGAUUAUUCAUUCAAUCAGUAUUAUUACUCCCUGUAACAGAGUUGAUUAUGAAUUCUUGUAUUACACUAUAUUCUUGUAGUUUAUCAUUGAGUGUUAUGUGAACUUAUAUUCUCUGAUAAGGCCAUUCAUUCAGACUUAAGGGCAAAGACUAUAAAAGCAGGAGUCUGCCUGGAAACAAGUCGGUCAUAGCAAAUGGAGUUUUCUGAUUUUUCAAUUAUUCUCUCCUAAAAAGCUUAUCAUCUGUUAUACGUGCGGUUUCUGUUCCUCUUUUUAAGAGAACAAGACGUCCAGUGUUUUUUCAGCAUCUUUUCUCUUGUUAGGUCCCAAUCUUUUAUUCCAUAUAUGGUAGUGACCUGUUCCAAAACAGAUCACGAGGGGAUUGCCUCAUGUAUGCGGGGGGGACUGUAUAAAAAUGCCCAGUCGACACAGAAAGGGGCUUUUCCGAUCUUUCUGACUACUCUCAUUCUUCAUCCAUUGCUUUUGCUUUAUUUUUCCUUUUUGCAACUUCAAAAUAAAAACCUUCUCUUUUUGGCAUCCCGGCUCGUUGACUGUCAUUUGUCGAUUUCCACGACAAAUUUUGGCGUCCCUGGGUGGGCUUCCCGAGCGCCGAGACCUCGAGACCACAGGAGGAAAACGGAGGACGCUCUUGGGUUAUAAAGAAAACUCAACCUUAAGAAACCUCGACUGUUUUAGAGGAAAAAAGGCGUUUUCCUCUGGGGGGGUCGAGAGGUGUCCGGGGCCGCGGAAGCCGCACCACGUGUGAGUAUAUUUUUUUUAUCCUUCCUUGUCUGGUUGGGGCUCCCUGGCACAUAGGUGAGUUUAGUGUGAAGAGGUUAAGAGGCCAAAACCCAGGAACAUGUGAUUCUUUGGUGCUGUGUGGUUGCCUCGAUCCGGGAUUGGGGCAUAACCCAGAGAACUAGUUCCUGGGGCCGGAUAACCCGCCUUUGUAUGACGAUAUUUAAAGGUUAAAGAUUUUUUUUCCCUGGUUUUUGAGAAAACGGAGGGCACAGUUUGACGGGGCUGUGAGCAAAUAGGAAUGCAAUAGGAUCGCAAACCUGCUUGUGAGUGAAAGGAUCGAUCCGCUCAUCUGUGUGUUGAGAACGGGGAGCUCGGGCCAGGGGGGGAAGCUUUGUUAAAAUACAUUUUUCUAAGGGAAAAUGAACGGGAUGCUGAAAGACUAGUGUCUUACCAAAAUUUUUUUUGAUAUCUAAUUUUUUUGGCUUUGCUCCGCACCGCUUCCUUUUUUCACUUCUAAAUUUUUCUGUCUGGUUGUUAUCCGCUCAAAUGUGAGAGGGUUCCUCUCGGCUUUUUCCUGUUUAGAGUGAGUGAAACAGAAGUGUGUGCGACAGUGCGACUGACAGAGAGGAAAAGAAAAGUGUGCGGGUCCAGUUUUCCUGAGAGAGAAACAGAAACUGUGUAUCUUGUGUUGGCGGAGAGAAAGAAUGUGUGUGUGGCAGUGAGUGAGAAAGUGUAUGGCAGCGAAUUAAAGAGUGUGUGUAAGGCAGAGUGCGCGAAACAGAAGUGUGUGCGUAUGUGUUGGAGUGUGUGUGAAACUAUGUGUGAGCGGAGCUCCGGCGAGCGAUGUGAUUGGUUGAGUGUACGAAAUCUUGUGUGACAACGAAAUAGGAAAUGGAUGAGUCCCACUGCAGGGGAGGAGUCCAAGGUGAAGUAGGUGGAGUUGGUCCAGCCCAUUGGUUUUAGACUGAGAGGUUGGUUAUUUGUGAAUUAACGCUUGUGAGAUAUCAUAGAAAAUAGAACAUAAGUUCAGUAGGGAAAUAGAGUAAUACACAGUGAAAAUGGGGGACAGAGGUGAACAGGGGGAAAAGGCUUUUGUAUGGGUAGAUAGAUAGAUAUAUAUAUAUAUAAGAAAAUAUAAGGGCAAAAAACCUAACUAUACAAGGUAAGGAUCUAUCUGUAAACGGAGCAGUGCAGUAGAUGUUACUAAUGGUCAUAAAUAAUUAAAUAAUUAACAGAGUAAAGUGCAAUGACAUCUAUUACGACAGUGACUAAUGUGAAAUAGAAAUAUAAUAUAAUAUACAUAUGCAUACGCUAUAAGACAGUUCUAAAAUGAAAAUGUGAAAAUGUGAAUACCCAAUCAUGAGUACAGUGUACUUUAAUGUAAGCAAGGUUGGGGAAGUGUUAAUAUAAAUAAUUAAGUUGUUGAAUAAUGUCAGAGAGGUGUGUGACUGGAUAGAUAAUUAGAGAAUUUAGAGAAUUUAAUAAAGGGAUUAUGGGGUUGGUUAGCAAAACAAAUUAAAAAUAAAAAUAAAAAUAUACUAUGCCAUGCAGUACUGCUGUGUCAGAUGUCCUCAGAGCAGGACAAAUAAACAUGGUUUUUUGUUUGAUUCUUAAAUAAUCAGUUCAAUAAAUAGAAAAGUGCUACAUAGUGAAUAGUGAAUGAGUUAAUGAGUGAGCCAUUCCAAACACAGCUUUUUCUAUCAGGUGAUUUAGUCAAUUAUCUUACUAUUCGUUUCUCAUUCAGACUGAUCUCAGUUCAGUCCUAGCUGAAUGAGACUUAUAUAAGACGGAUGUAAUAUCUAAUUUCUCUAUGUCACAAUUUGAUCCUCAUAAGAGGGAUAGUUGAUUUCAGAAACCAAUGAGAAAAGACCUUAUUUAUUUGAAAAUGAAACUACAAGCAUUAGUGAAUUGGGUCUUUCUCAUUUUAAAUAAGGGGAAAUAAAGUGUAUUUAAAAAUGCAGCUCUCUGUUUUGCUUUACGGUAUUAAAUUAGACUAGAAAGAGAUCUGGAAAACAGCAUAGAUUUAGUUUUCAUGCUUAUACAAUGCCACAUAUAAAACAAAUGCAUAAUUUUCUGGCUGUAGCAUGAACAAAAUCAGCUAAGCAAUAUAAAAUUGUUUCAUCUGCAUAAUGGUAAAGUUUGCAAUCUGAAGAAGCAGAGCCAGCAAUAUAAUUUAUAUAUAUAUUAAAUAAAACUGGACCAAACUUUAACCUUGUGGUACAUCUGUGAGAUACAGAUGCCAAAUCUGAAUAAUUAUUCAUUGACAUGCACUCUUUUGGGUCUAUUCCAGAGCAGUGUUAUCAAAGCAAAUAAUUUAAGCUAAAUUCAGUGGGAGAGAAAGGGUGAUACUGAUGGUAAUAAGGAAAAUCUGUAUACAAUAAUAACAAAUAAUAAACCAUGGGUACUCGGUGCCUUGCACAGGUUUUCACGGUGAACACCAGAGUGUGAAUUUAUGACAGUGUGACAUACCUGGGUUUGUGCUCCCUGCAGAAACACUACAGCACUGAAUGUUGAUAAAGCAGUGCUGCUACGCUGUGUGUGGUUCAGUGUGAUAGGCUGGUUAGCCAAAGACGGGUAAGAUCCCAACAUAUGACAAAGGGACAACCUAAGACAGGCACAGUCUCGAUCUGACCACCACAUGCAUUUUAACAGAAAACGGAGAAAACAUCGUGGAAGGGAAGCGCAGCCCAGGGGGGAGUGAGUGGAUGAAUGACGUGAUGGGGUGUGUGUUCAGUGGAGGCCUGGGCAGGGCAGACCGGCCAAAAUGGACAGUAAGAGGGUGAAGCAAUUUUGUGUUAAGUUCUCUGAAACAGAAAUUCGGUUUCAGAAAAAGGGGGAGAGGUAAAUAGAUGAUCAUUAUUGCCACCAUUAUUUGCCCAAUAUUUAUUUUAUAGAUAUAGAGCAUUUUUUAAACUUUUAGCUUGUUUAUCUUUUUAAAGUUUGGUUUUAAAACAACCUCUAUGCAGAUGAGCAAUUACUUUCAGCAAUAUUGUAACAGUCUUAACUUUAAGACACACUCAGUCCUAAUUUAAAAGGAAGAAAUAAGAAACUUAAAAAUCACAAAAUUGAACUUUCACUAUUCAACAUGUGAGCCACUUUUUGAGCAAGGGAAACAGUAAGUGAGAUUUGAAAAAUUGUUUAAGGAAAUAGAUGUAUUGUUGAUAAUUGGGAAAAGCAGUCUGCUUGGCAUUGUAUAUGCAUAAAUACAUAUUGAAAAUAUUGAAAAGUAAAUGUAAAGCAUUGUUCGGAUUUACUUGCUAUAAUAACGUGGACAAAGCAAAGCAUAACAUCUGUGUUUAUUAAUAUUGAUAAUAUUAUUGUUUGUAAUGGAACGAUUGAUACAGAGAAAAAUAAUCACGUUCCACUUAUCCAAAUUCUUAAAGCACUUAAUAAAAUCAACUAAAUCUAAAAAUCAAGGCUUUAUAAAAAUCUUGGGAACUGAAUAAAGUCAGAAUCAUAAUUUCUUAAUAAAUAGCACACCGCAGAAAAUUAAAGUGGCAGGUAAAAUAAUAUAGCCACAAGCGGUGAGGCUAAAGUUAAAGCAAGAGUAACCCAAGAAAGCCCAGUACAUCAACAUGGACCCAUUCCUGACACAGAAGCCACAGUAUGUGUAGUUUGUGCAGAGUGUAAAACUUUGGGCCCUGAUAUUCUAUCAAUCAGUGUGGAGAUGAAUGGGAGAAUAGAGCAGCUGAUCAUCAAAAGUUUGCAUGGAGCAAUAAUAAUAAAUAUGAUUCAGAUAUAUUUGUUUGUUCCUUAUUUAUUAUCUAUGUAGUAUUAUCAAUACAAUAUAAGAAGAUAUGCAGGAAGCAUUCAGUGGUAGGUUUAACAGCAGGUGCGUUUAAAGCAGCAGCCUCGGGCUGUGAGGCAGUAAAAUAUGGUCUGUACAAUGAUGCUGCAGAGUUGAGGUGUGUGAUCUUUAGCUUGGUUAGUGUUUGUGAGAGUGGAAGCAGAAGUGUUUGAGUUUGUAUAUGUGUACUUGUGUGGGUGAACUUGUGUGUGUUUGUGUGUGUGCAUGAGACAUAGUGUGUGUCUAGUGGUAAACUAGGUGGUGAAAAUUGGAAGGGGUUGUAAAAGCUAAUUUGGCUAUAAGAGAUUAGUUAUAGCCAUGGGGAAGCAGUUACACUAAAAGGGAAAGGGAUGUGAACAAAAGUAAGGAAAAAAAACAGUAAUUAAUGGUGUUGAUAAUUAAAUGUUGCAAUUUAAAAUUGAAAAUGACUAAAUGUUAGGGAUUUAAAGCACUUUUGACAGUAAAGAUCAUGAUUGAGUAUAACUGAAAAUCAGGACAACUGAAGAAGGUAAGAAAACAAAAAUUGGGCUGAAAUCUGUGCACAGACAAAAUUUAAAUAUGAAAUAGUUAACUUCCAAGGGGAAAUUAGAGCUCCAGUUAAGUGUGAUAAAUGUAUUUUAACCAUGUAUUUUAACUUGCAGGAAGGAGACACGGAGGACCCCUUAACAGACUUCCAAAAUGAAUAGAGAACCUUAAACAUGAUUAUAAUGAAUAUAAAAGUCUCGUUUCAGAUCUGUUUACACAGGGGGAGAAGGAGAACGUGGUGCAAAGGUGGACCAGUCCAGACACAGAGUGAGGGCUCCUCCGCCAUUGCGCACGAAAGGGGAACGAGCAUGGCUGGAUUGAGCCUUUCCAGGUGGCUGAGAGAACAACGUACGCAGAUCAACUGAUAGGCGAGGGUUCUACAGCUGUGCAGCAACAGAGAUCGCUCACAGAGCAAGCGGGAGGAGACGAGACAGCAGCUGAAAAGUCUGACCCUCAGCAGGCCGCAGCAGGAAGGAGGGGCAGCUGAAUUGCCCACAGCAGCAGACAAUACACAGCAGGGGCGUCAGUGCCUGGCUGUGACCGAGGAGAGGAAGUGAGGGAGUAACUCAGCAACGUUUCGUUUGCGUCAAAGUACACUACAUACAGAGACUCUUAAAACACAUCUAAUUAAAAGAACACACAUAGUCUUAUCACACACCAACUCAUACUUUUCAUUCACUGAUAUUGCAGACAUCAAGAGCCAGAAUAAAGCUCUUCGUACGUGGGGCUACCUACCUUCAGAACCCUGAAUUCCGAGAAAAAGAUUUUAAUGUAUUUUUUCCUUGUUGCUCUGGGAGCAGGACAACAGCAGGACAUUGUGCAUUUGACCAUCACAGAAGGACACACGGACAUAUAUCAUUGUAAUCAGCAUUUAUGCUUGGAAUUUUUUUUUUUUUCUUAUUGUGUAAUCAAAAUGAAAAUUUGAUUAAAAGGGGGGAAAUGUGAGGGAAAAUCAACAUUUACUUCAUGUAUUCAUAAUCAAUUACACUGAUUAUUCAUUCAAUCAGUAUUAUUACUCCCUGUAACAGAGUUGAUUAUGAAUUCUUGUAUUACACUAUAUUCUUGUAGUUUAUCAUUGAGUGUUAUGUGAACUUAUAUUCUCUGAUAAGGCCAUUCAUUCAGACUUAAGGGCAAAGACUAUAAAAGCAGGAGUCUGCCUGGAGACAAGUCGGUCAUAGCAAAUGGAGUUUUCUGAUUUUUCAAUUAUUCUCUCCUAAAAAGCUUAUCAUCUGUUAUACGUGCGGUUUCUGUUCCUCUUUUUAAGAGAACAAGACGUCCAGUGUUUUUUCAGCAUCUUUUCUCUUGUUAGGUCCCAAUCUUUUAUUCCAUAUAUGGUAGUGACCUGUUCCAAAACAGAUCACGAGGGGAUUGCCUCAUGUAUGCGGGGGGGACUGUAUAAAAAUGCCCAGUCGACACAGAAAGGGGCUUUUCCGAUCUUUCUGACUACUCUCAUUCUUCAUCCAUUGCUUUUGCUUUAUUUUUCCUUUUUGCAACUUCAAAAUAAAAACCUUCUCUUUUUGGCA